rnacentral:rRNA from 1 species
AUUGAACGCUGGCGGCAGGCCUAACACAUGCAAGUCGAACGGAAACAGGAAGAGGUUUCCUUCUUUACUGUCGCGUGGCGGACGGGUGUGACAUGUCUGUGAAACUGCUUGAUGGCGGGGGAAAACUACUGGAAACGGUGCCUAAUACCGCAUACCGUCGCAAGACCAAAGAGGGAGACCUUCAGGCCUUUUUCCAUUCGCUUAUACCAGAUGCCGGUCGGGAUUAGCUAGUAGGUCGGGUAACGGCGCACCAAGGCGACGAUGCGUAGCAGACCUGAGAGGAUGAUCGGCCACACUGGAACUGAGACACGGUCCAGACUCCUACGGGAGGCAGCAGUGGGGAAUAUUGCACAAUGGGCGCAAGCCUGAUGGAGCCACGCCGCGUGUAUGAAGAAGGCCUUCGGGUCGUAAAGUACUUUCAGCGGGGAGGAAGGAAGGUAAGAUAAUAUCUGCGCGUAUUGACGUUACCCGCAGAGGAAGCCCCGGCUAACUACGUG